GAGGAAUAUUGCGCAAUGGCCGAAAGGCUGACGCAGCGACGCCGCGUGAAGGAUGAAGUUCGUUAGAAUGUAAACUUCUUUUGUAGGGGAUGAAUGUGCCGGUUUCCGGCAUUGACCGUACCCUGCGAAUAAGGAUCGGCUAACUACGUGCCAGCAGCCGCGGUAAUACGUAGGAUCCGAGCGUUGUCCGGAUUUACUGGGUGUAAAGGGCGUGUAGGUGGGUCUCUAAGUCGGUGGUGAAAGCCCGCAGCUUAACUGCGGAAUUGCCAUUGAUACUGGAGGUCUUGAGUACGGCAGAGGGAAAUGGAAUUCAUGGUGUAGCGGUGAAAUGUGUAGAUAUCAUGAAGAACACCGGUAGCGAAGGCGGUUUCCUGGUCCGUAACUGACACUGAGGCGCGAAAGCGUGGGGAGCAAAC
rnacentral:rRNA from 1 species